rnacentral:rRNA from 1 species
AGGGGGCUAGCGUUGUCCGGAAUUACUGGGCGUAAAGGGUUCGCAGGCGGAAAUGCAAGUCAGAUGUGAAAGGCAGAGGCUUAACCUCUGUAAGCAUCUGAAACUGUAUUUCUUGAGAUGUGGAGAGGCAAGUGGAAUUCCUAGUGUAGCGGUGAAAUGCGUAGAUAUUAGGAGGAAUACCAGUGGCGAAGGCGACUUGCUGGACACAAACUGACGCUGAGGAACGAAAGCGUGGGUAGCAAA